GUGAGGAAUAUUGCACAAUGGAGGAAACUCUGAUGCAGCAACGCCGCGUGGAGGAUGACGCAUUUCGGUGUGUAAACUCCUUUUAAGAGGGAAGAUUAUGACGGUACCUCUUGAAUAAGCACCGGCUAACUCCGUGCCAGCAGCCGCGGUAAUACGGAGGGUGCAAGCGUUACUCGGAAUCACUGGGCGUAAAGGGUGCGUAGGCUGACUUUUAAGUCAGGCGUGAAAUCCAAUGGCUUAACCAUUGAACUGCGCUUGAAACUGGGAGUCUAGAGUUCAGAAGGGGCAGAUGGAAUUAGUGGUGUAGGGGUAAAAUCCGUAGAUAUCACUAGGAAUAUCAAAAGCGAAGGCGAUCUGCUGGGAUGAUACUGACGCUGAGGCACGAAAGCGUGGGGAGCAAACAGGAUUAGAUACCCGGGUAGUCC
rnacentral:rRNA from 1 species